AAAGAACAGGAAGAAGAAGAAGAAGAAGAAGAAGAAGAAGAAGAAGAAAAAGAAGGAAAAGAAGAAGAAGAAGAAGCAUGAAUUACCUUGACCCCGACGAUGCCAUAUUCCUGGUUGAUGCGUUCCUGGAUGAGUGCAAGGUGGAUCAGCAUGGACACACAAAAGGAGGGUCAAAAAAAUCCACAAAUCUGUGUGUUUGGCUUGAUGAGGACAAAGAUGGUCAACCUCUGCCAAAAAGAUGUAGAGCUGGAGAGAAACGAAAGCGAGAUUCAGCCACGGUUUCUUCAGCAAGUGUAACACCCUCCUGUGCUCCGUCUACCGACACAACUGGAGAAACAGUGACCAUCGAAAAUUUAGAGUCCCUCAUUCAAGAUGUCCGAGACCUCUUGGGAAGUGGUGCGGAACAACCUCUCCCCUCACACUGGAGGAACAGGCAAACUUCCUCUCUGGAGAAUUGGACAGUGAUGAGGCCCUUCAUGGUGAACAAUAUGUUGUCAUCUGAGAAGCCGAAGGAGGGGGUUUGCCAUCAUUGUGGAAACAAGGCUGCAGUAGUGAUGUGUAAGGACUGUUUACCGCGAUCACUCUACUGCACAGCCUGUGACCUUUCCACACAUGAGGCCCUAGUGCUUCAUAACAGAGCAUCCAUGGUGGAGGGGUUCUUCAGACACCUG